GGGUCAGUAGGUUGGUCGUGCCACCGGUACGUACUGGUCUCACUGAUUCCUCCUUCCUGAAGAACCGUAAUGCCAUUAAUUUGGUGUUGCGGGGAAGCAGGACUGUUACUUUGAAAAAAUUAGAGUGUUUAAAGCAAGCUAACGCUUGAAUACAUUAGCAUGGAAUAAUAAAAUAGGACGAUCGAUCCUAUUUUGUUGGUUUCUAGGAUUGACGUA
rnacentral:rRNA from 1 species